CUGGCGGCAGGCUUAACACAUGCAAGUCGAGCGGUAACACUUCGGGUGACGAGCGGCGGACGGGUGAGUAAUACAUAGGAAUCUGCCUAGUAGUGGGGGAUAACGUAGGGAAACUUACGCUAAUACCGCAUACAUCCUACGGGGGAAAGCAGGGGAUCUUCGGACCUUGCGCUAUUAGAUGAGCCUAUGUCGGAUUAGCUAGUUGGUGAGGUAAAGGCUCAUCAAGGCGACGAUCCGUAGCUGGUCUGAGAGGAUGAUCAGCCACACUGGGACUGAGACACGGCCCAGACUCCUACGGGAGGCAGCAGUGGGGAAUAUUGGACAAUGGGCGCAAGCCUGAUCCAGCCAUGCCGCGUGUGUGAAGAAGGCCUUAGGGUUGUAAAGCACUUUCAUUGGGGAGAAAGGCUGUUUGGUUAAUACCCAAGCAGAUUGAUGUUACCCAAAGAAGAAGGACCGGCUAACUCCGUGCCAGCAGCCGCGGUAAUACGGAGGGUCCAAGCGUUAAUCGGAAUUACUG
rnacentral:rRNA from 1 species